AGAGUUGGUACUCACGGUUCCUUUAAGGGCAUCCACUUCACAGGUGAGGGACUGCACCUGUCUCCGGUACUCAGUGGACUCCUGCUUUGCCUGGCGCAGGGCGUCAUUGUUCCGGUUGGCAGCCUCAGAGAGGUUCUUGGCAGCCACGCUUUCAUAUUGCUGACGAACGUCACGCAGGGCAGCCGUGAGGUCAGGCUUGGAAACAUCCACAUCAAUUUGGACAUGCUGUUCCUGAAUCUGAGCCUGCAGCUCCUGGAUUUCCUGCAAAAAGAACAGACAGACGGUCAGCUCUGCCAACCGUGGGGGCUGCCUUACCCCAUUCAUUCUCUGAAAGUCACUCCACUAACCUCUUCGUGGAGUUUCUUCAAAAAGGCAAUCUCUUCUUGCAAAGAUUCCACUUUGCGUUCAAGGUCAAGACGUGCCAGAGACGCGUUGUCAACAUCCUAUUUUGAAAAGAGAAAAGACAGGACAUGGAGGAUGUAAAAGUCUAUGGCUUAUCUCAUUUAUUUGUCUUAGAUUAACCAUCUGAACCUAGUCUUCUUACUAUAGAAAAGGUGUUGACACAUUUUAUGACCCUUGAAUAGGUUUAUAAAUCAUUCAGUGCUAUAAUAUGCUGUGCUUUCUCCUGCUCACUAAUAUAUUUUAAUUGUGACUCCUUGUGUUUUACUCAAGGUGGUGAUUGGACAAUUUUAAAAUAAAUAAAUG
rnacentral:antisense_RNA from 1 species